GUCCUCCCAUUGCUUACCACAGACAGUGUUGCCUCCCCCACUGGCUGUACAGAAAGAGGAGGAAUAGUAACGUCUCUGUCUACACCACAGCCUGGCCUUGUGCCUGGACUGUAUUGUUAUCGGGGCGACAACC